rnacentral:rRNA from 1 species
UACGGAGGGUGCAAGCGUUGCUCGGAAUUAUUGGGCGUAAAGGGUAGGUAGGUGGUCUCGUUUGUCUGGGGUGAAAGCCUUGAGCUUAACUCAAGAAGUGCCCCCAGAAACGGCGAGACUAGAGUCUUGGAGAGGGUCGUGGAAUUCCCGGUGUAGUGGUGGAAUGCGUAGAGAUCGGGAGGAAUACCAGUGGCGAAAGCGGCACCCUGGCGUCGUACUGACGCACAUGUGCGAAAGCGUGGGGAGCGGAACAG